CACCUGAUAGCACAUGGUGUGCACCUGCACCAGUUUAGUGACAGCUUUCCUAAUAAGAUUAAGCAGGAGACCCUCGUUCGAUUUGGGGUCGGGUGA